rnacentral:rRNA from 1 species
UACAGAGGGUGCGAGCGUUGUCCGGAAUCACUGGGCGUAAAGGGCGCGUAGGUGGUUGGGUAAGCGUGUGGUGAAAGCCCGGGGCUCAACCCCGGGUCGGCCAUGCGAACUGCCCGACUGGAGCACGGUAGAGGCCAAUGGAAUUCCGGGUGUAGCGGUGGAAUGCGUAGAGAUCCGGAAGAACACCGGUGGCGAAGGCGGUUGGCUGGGCCGUGGCUGACACUGAGGCGCGACAGCGUGGGGAGCAAACAGG